GGACGUGUGCCCUGUUAAUUUGGAUUGAGCUCGUAGCCGGAGAAAGGAGAGGUAAAAAAAAGAGAGCAAGUAGUAUAGCACAACGUCGAGCUUGGAGACCCAUGAGUGGAGAAGUGAAAUCCUGGACAUGCAUCAUGGCAAGAUGAUGGCGAUCAGUAUGAACGGGGGGCAGGGUCCACUUUGAAGAUGCCUCUGCCUACACGGGAGUCAUGAGUGCGUGCGCGCGCCCCCCUUUUGGUGGGCUCUGCUCGCACUCGCACCAUGCGUUCCUGCAUUUUGCGAGUCCUCAUCAGCCGCGCCAUGUACGAGUACGAUUCGGGGUCAAAGCUUCGCGCACGACCUUAGCUUUUGGAGAGUUGACGGCUGGGGCUUGGCGAAUCUUCCCACCCGCAGCUCAUGAUAAAAGGCUUGAACAGGACCAGAGCGAUGCGGUAGUGCUGGUUUCCUAUCGCCAGAGGUCUUGACCUAGCUAGCUCAUGUUUCCGUGAAUUUUUUUAUCUUAGCGGUCUAGAAUUAUUCUAUUUCAACGUGCCAUUAGCAUGCAAAAAUUGUUUUGUAGCGAUAGACUAGUUCAGUAGCGUGAUGGUGGUAAGAAAUCAGAGAUCUUUUCUCAGCUGGUGUUACGUGAGACAAGCAUAUCUGAUCUAGAUCUUUGCCUUACGCGCCAAGUAAUUUAACGAGCAGCAGAAUUUUUUUGUCCAUCUGGUGCCAUGGGUCAGAGCCGCAGAUAUUUUUUCCGAGGGAUCGUAGCUCAAAAGCGGAAGCAACUGAAUUAUAUAUGCUCUGAUUCGUUCACAAGAAAUGGGGACAACUCCCGGCGCCCGUUGAUUCUUUUCUUUUCGCCGACAUGGUGCUUCUUGAAUGACACCUGCAAAAAAAUAUUUUUUCUCGCCCGAAAUUAAAUUCGAGAUAUCGUUUGCUAAAUUUUCUUUGAACGAUCGCCCUCCGCGAUCUCUAGUUUGACUAUCAGUUGUUGGGGUUGAACUCACUACUGCUUGCUUCGGUCGAGUUGUCACGCGCGUACGUGCGUACGGCCCGGCGUGUCACUCUCGUCAGUACCCACCAGCCCAC
rnacentral:lncRNA from 1 species